GAUGAAGAACGUAGCGAAAUGAGAUAAGUAAUGCGAAUUGCAGAAUUUCCGUGAGUCAUCGAAUCUUUGAACGCACAUUGCGCCCACUGGUAUUCCGGUGGGCAUGCCUGUUCGAGCGUCAUUAUCCUCCCUCAAACCCCGGGUUUGGUGUUGGACCGAAGUUGUGUGAACAACUGGUCUAAAAAACAAUGACGGCGUCCGUGGGACCCUCGGUGCAACGAGCUUUUAGGAGCACGCGCCGAGUUGCAAGGACCUUCCGGGCCGGUCUCCUUUUACUAUUUUACAAGGUUGACCUCGGAUCAGGCAGGAAUACCCGCUGAACUUAAGCAUAUCAAUAAGCGGAGGA
rnacentral:misc_RNA from 1 species